ACGGAGGGUGCCAGCGUUAUUCGGAAUUAUUGGGUGUAAAGCGCGUGUAGGCGGCUUGGAAAGUCAGAUGUGAAAGCUCCGAGCUUAACUCGGAAAGUGCAUUUGAAACUUCCAGGCUUGAGUGCCGGAGAGGAAGGUGGAAUUCCCAGUGUAGAGGUGAAAUUCGUAGAUAUUGGGAGGAACACCGGUGGCGAAGGCGACCUUCUGGACGGACACUGACGCUGAGACGCGAAAGCGUGGGGAGCAAACAG
rnacentral:rRNA from 1 species